rfam:Capnocytophaga haemolytica strain CCTG 32990, complete genome.
UAACUUUGCCGCCGAAUUAAAAAACGUACAUAAUAAUCAUUAAAUUAAUAUUGGAAUG